rnacentral:tRNA from 1 species
GGGGCCGUAGCUCAGUUGGGAGAGCGCAUGAAUGGCAUUCAUGAGGUCGUGGGUUCGACUCCCAUCGGCUCCA